UGACAGUAAUAGAUGUGAAAUACAUACGAAUUACAGUGCAUUACUUAUGUAGCGAGAUGUACGAACAGCCUGA